rnacentral:rRNA from 1 species
UUCCGUAGGUGAACCUGCGGAAGGAUCACU